rnacentral:rRNA from 1 species
UGACCGCUGGCGGCAGGCCUAACACAUGCACGUCGAACGGUAACAGGAAGAAGCUUGCUUCUUUGCUGACGAGUGGCGGACGGGUGAGUAAUGUCUGGGAAACUGCCUGAUGGAGGGGGAUAACUACUGGAAACGGUAGCUAAUACCGCAUAACGUCGCAAGACCAAAGAGGGGGACCUUCGGGCCUCUUGCCAUCGGAUGUGCCCAGAUGGGAUUAGCUAGUAGGUGGGGUAACGGCUCACCUAGGCGACGAUCCCUAGCUGGUCUGAGAGGAUGACCAGCCACACUGGAACUGAGACACGGUCCAGGCUCCUACGGGAGGCAGCAGUGGGGAAUAUUGCACAAUGGGCGCAAGCCUGAUGCAGCCAUGCCGCGUGUAUGAAGAAGGCCUUCGGGUUGUAAAGUACUUUCAGCGGGGAGGAAGGGAGUAAAGUUAAUACCUUUACUCAUUGACGUUACCCGCAGAAGAAGCACCGGCUAACUCCGUG